ensembl:misc_RNA predicted gene, 27997
CUUUCCGAUAUUUCAUAAUCAUCUUCCAACAUCACACAUCUCUUCCAGACAUCACCGAGAACACAAUUC